CGGGAAAAGCUCAAAUUUAAAAUCUGGCAGCUCAUGCUGUCCGAGUUGUAAUCUGGAGAAACAUUUUCCGAGCGUCGGACCGUGUACAAGUCUCUUGGAAUAGAGCGUCAUAGAGGGUGAGAAUCCCGUCCAUGACACGGAGUCACCGAUGCGUUUGUGAUAUGUUCUCGAA
rnacentral:rRNA from 1 species